GGAAGUAAAAGUCGUAACAAGGUCUCCGUUGGUGAACCAGCGGAGGGAUCAUUACCGAGUUUACAAACUCCCAAACCCCUGUGAACCAUACCAUAAUCGUUGCUUCGGCGGGUUUUAACGCCCCGGACCGCACCUGGCUCGCCGGGCUGCUGCCGGACUCAGGCGCCCGCCGGAGGACCCAAACUCUUCUGUAUCUGUUUACGUAUCGUCUGAGUGGAUUUUAUAUCAAUGAAUUAAAACUUUCAACAACGGAUCUCUUGGUUCUGGCAUCGAUGAAGAACGCAGCGAAAUGCGAUAAGUAAUGUGAAUUGCAGAAUUCAGUGAAUCAUCGAAUCUUUGAACGCACAUUGCGCCCGCCAGUAUUCUGGCGGGCAUGCCUGUUCGAGCGUCAUUUCAACCCUCAAGCCCUGCUUGGUGUUGGGGGCCGGCCUGCUUCUCCCCCCUUCUGGAGGGGCCCAGCGGCCGCCCCCGAAAUGAAUUGGCGGUCUCGUCACAGCCUCCUCUGCGUAGUAACAUACCACCUCGCACCGGGAGCUGGACGCGGCCACUGCCGUAAAACGCCCCAACUUUUCACAGAGUUGACCUCGAAUCAGGUAGGAAUACCCGCUGAACUUAAGCAUAUCAAUAAGCGGAGGA
rnacentral:rRNA from 1 species